UACGUAGGGUGCAAGCGUUGUCCGGAAUUAUUGGGCGUAAAGAGCUCGUAGGCGGUUUGUCGCGUCUGCUGUGAAAACUCGGGGCUUAACCCCGGGCCUGCAGUGGGUACGGGCAGACUAGAGUGCGGUAGGGGAGACUGGAAUUCCUGGUGUAGCGGUGAAAUGCGUAGAGAUCAUGAGGAAGACCAGUGGCGAAGGCGGGUCUCUGGACAGUUCCUGACACUGAGACACGAAGGCCAGGGGAGCAAACGGG
rnacentral:rRNA from 1 species